rnacentral:rRNA from 1 species
AGAGUUUGAUCCUGGCUCAGGAUGAACGCUAGCGGCAGGCCUAAUACAUGCAAGUCGAACGGGAUUAAGAGGCUUGCUUCUUAUGAGAGUGGCGCACGGGUGCGUAACACGUAUGCAACCUACCUUCAACUGGGGGAUAGCCUUCCGAAAGGGAGAUUAAUACCGCAUAACAUAAUUGAACGGCAUCGUUUAAUUAUCAAACUUACGGGGGUUGAAGAUGGGCAUGCGUCCGAUUAGUUUGUUGGUGAGGUAACGGCUCACCAAGACUACGAUCGGUAGGGGAUCUGAGAGGAUGACCCCCCACACUGGUACUGAGACACGGACCAGACUCCUACGGGAGGCAGCAGUAAGGAAUAUUGGUCAAUGGACGCAAGUCUGAACCAGCCAUGCCGCGUGCAGGAAGACGGUCCUCUGGAUUGUAAACUGCUUUUGUUAGGGAAGAAACCCUCGUAUGCGUACGAGGCUGACGGUACCUAAAGAAUA